UCAAUUUAAUAUAAAAAUAGAAAAGGACGUCAUGACAUUCCAGACUAUAUAAGGUCAACGGCUACAGUAUGCCAUCAAAAAUUUGUAAACCAAAAUGGCUGUAACAAACAGUGAUGUAAAUCGCCAAUUUUGGGCAGAUAAAAUAAGGCAAUCAAGAAUAGCUUUGGUUGAAACGCACAGUCACGAACAAUGUGGAUAUGUAAUUUGGUCUAAAACCGGUGUCGUUAAAGGAAUUAAUUUCGGCCGAACAUUCCUUGUUCUGAUACGUAUUUGUGUGUGUCGACGUUAUCUAAACAAUCAGCGUCUACUUUCUCAGACCUAUAUCCAUGGACAUGAAUGCAAUGAUGGAGUGGAAUUGCAUGUAGAUGGCGAAUGCCAAUACCUUUCUUUAAACGGGCGUGUGGAAAAAGUUUGUUAUUGUCCAAAAUAAAUAAACAUAUUAAGUGUAACGAAGGGUCCAACAAACAAGAUGGUGAGCUUUUGGACAGACGCCACAUUAGGACCGGUCACAAGGAUUCUACUUGUUCCUUUAAUUUUAUGUAGUAAAUUAUACAAUAAAAUAACAUAAUUA